AUAGUAUAGCUAUGGUGAGCACAUAUAUCAUUCCAACAAAUACUAAAAGUACUAGUAAUUAGCGUCUUUCUAUUAUUUAACUGAAAAAUUGAAGUGAUUGAUUAAAAACUAAAAGUAACUAAUUAAAUUACCUAAAGAACACAAAAAAGAACAAAUCGGAAAAAUAAUCGAGUAAACAACCAAGAAGCGAAACAAUACCUAGGAAAGAAUCCACCUAGAUUCAUCUAUUAUUAUCAAUCUGAAUUAAACAAUUUCUUCGUUUAGUAUCUUGAUCCGUAGAAAUCCCUAAAUUAUGCUAAUAUCUCUCUUCAAGACUAAGAGCAAAUGACUCUAGGUUGAUUAAUUGAAAUUUAUUUCUAAUUAAAACAACUAUUGUUGCGUUAACUCGAUCUAUGAAUACCCCUAUUAAAUUUGACUCUAAUCCGAUAGAUUUAUGUCGUCCUAUUUCUAGGUUUGUGUGCAACUCCACUCAAAUAUGCUAAAUCUACUCUCAAAUAGGGUCUAUUCCUCCUCUGAUUCAAGCAUAUCAAACAUGGAUUAAUAGUCCGAAAAUAUUAAACCAAGAAUUAAGCACACAUAAUUGAGAACAUGAUCCAAGUAUUUAUUGCGUAAAACAUAAAUCAAAAGACAGAAUCCAUCCUAGGGUUCAUCUCCUUAGAUAUUUAGAAAAUUAAUUCAUAAUCACAAAUAAAAACAAGUAACACCCCAGAAUUCUUAGUUUUGCGUUUGUGAAAAUGUGACAUAACUCUGUAUUUGCUUCAAUAGUUAAGUGUUCUAGGUGUGUGU
rnacentral:lncRNA from 1 species